UUCAAUUGCUAUUUAAUUUACAAAUGUGCUCAAAGUGUUAGUAAAACUAGCAAACAUCGUAAGUAUCAAUUAUUACAAAUUAAAUGGUCUAAAGCUGUUGGAGCUUGGUACAUCUGUACACCUUGAGUCCACCACUUAGAAAUACAAUUUAUUAUAAAUCACACAUUUGUAUAAACUUAUAGUCUGUCAAACCUUUGUGUUUCCUGCUUUUUGACACAGUUUCAUAACUUUUACCAUUGUAAAUUCAAGUGAUGACAUCUUUUCUAGAAAUUGUUGAACAUCAUUUCAUGUUUUUAUCUUCCCAGCAUUGUUUUAAUGGCAUGGUAUCUGCCAACUCAUCAUCCUGCACUUCAGAGCAAGAACUUUUCUGAUCAUUUCCUCCUCAACUUUCCACCUGUUUAAUAUUAAAUGCAAAUUUAAUUAUUCUUCAACAGCAUUGUGUAUGGGAAAUCAGAUAGAUUUUAAGAGAGAGGAGCAAGGGGACAGAAGGUUGAAGAGCACAAGAGAACAACGAGGAGGAGGAAUGGAAGACAAGUCUCUUUCCUAAUUAUUUUCUGUAUUCUGCAUCGUUUCUUCCCUACCAUUUUGGGGUUUAGAGAUCAGACCAUAACACAUGUCCAUUUUCCUUACCACCUCACAUCUACUGAACUGGAACUUUGUGCUGUGGAACAAGUUUUUAUUUUUAAAACUUUAGGUUAGCAACAUGAAUGAAAUGCAGGAGUAAUAGUUCAGCUUUGAUGUCGAACCUGGUAAAUAGACAUAUGAAGGGAAGUUGAGAAGAAGUAUGGAGAUCAUGAGGUGGAGUGAAUGACAUGGUAGGAAGAACCACUGGCAGAAAUUAGCAGUAGGAAGAGAGGUGGUCUGUGGUCCAGAGGAACGUUGUUUUGUUUGGGUGUAUAUACCAAUGGAACCAAUCUACUAAUGAUGUCAUAGCCACAGCACUACUCAUGAUCUUCAUUUACCUGGAGAAGAGGUAUGCACAUGUUAGAAUUCUGUUCCUGGACUACAGUUCAGCAUUCAACACGACAACUUCCUCCAGACGUGACAGGAAGCUUAGAGACUUCAACCUGCACCCCACCUUGUGCAGCUGGGUCCUAGACUUCCUAUCAGAUCACCAACAGGUGGUAAGGAUGGGCUCCCUCACCUCUGCCCCUCUGACCCUCAACACAGGUGCCCCCUAGGGUUGUGUUCUUAGUCCCCUUCUCUACUCCCUUUGCACCCACAACCAUAAUGCCACACACAGGUCCAAUCUGCUGAUCAAAUUCACAGAUGACAUGUCUUUGAUUGGCAUUAUUUCCAGUAAUAAUGAGACAGCCUACAGAGGAGAGGUUGACACACUGACACAGUGGUGCCAGGAUAACAACCUCUCCCUCGAUGCCCAAAAAGCAAAAGAGGUGAUUGUGGAUUACAGGAGGAAAGGAGACUCUCAGCCCAAUCAACGUCAAUGGGUCUGCAGUGGAGAGGGUGAGUAGUUUAAAGUUCCUUAGUAUACAUAUCACUGAUGAUUUCACCUAGACUGUACACACCAACUUUGUGGCACAAAAUGCACAAUAGCAUCUCUUCCAUGUCAGGUGGCUGAAAAAGUUUGGCAUGGGCCCCCAAAUCCUCAAGACCUUCUACAGGGGCACCAUUGAGAGCAUACUGACUGGCUAUAUCACCGCCUAGUACAGGAACUGCACCAAUGUUGAUCGCUGGGCACUGCAGAGAGUGGUACAGACAGCCCAGUGCAUCUGUGGAUGUGAGCUUCCUGCCAAGAGGACAUUUAUAGCAGCAGGUGCAGAAAGAAGACCUGGAAGAUCAUCGGGGACACCAGUUACCUCGACUAUAAACUGUUCCAGCUGCUUCCGUCCUGCAAAUGGUACCACAGUAUUAAGCCAGGACCAUUAGGCUACAGGGCAGCUUCUUUCUACAAGCCAUUAGACUUUUAAAUUCACAUGUCUGUAUAUUGCAACGGAGUCAUAACACAAAGAUUUUUACUCCCUCGUGUUGUGGGAUGGAUGUAAGAUCUAAAUAAAUUCUAUUCUAAUUCAAUUCUAUUCCGCCGUAUGUAAAGUCAGAUGACAAUAAAGAGAAUUUCUGCAGAUGCUGGAAAUUUAAAGCAACACACACAAAAUGCUGGAGGAGCUCAGCAGAUCAGGCAGCAUCUAUGGAAAUGAAUGAACAUCUUAGCUCGACGUUUCAAGCUAAGACCAGUGCUAGAAUCUUGGCUUGAAAUGUCAACUGUUUAUUCAUUUCCAUGAAUGCUAUCUG